rnacentral:tRNA from 1 species
CGGUGUCGUGGCGUACGAGGGCGGCGCGUGGAGCUCGGACCUCGGCGCGGGACCGGUCGCGUACGUCGUCAUCGAC